rfam:Ictidomys tridecemlineatus contig019855, whole genome shotgun sequence.
GAGGAUGUAGCUCAGUGAUGAAGCAUUUGCCUGGCAUGCAUGAGGCUCUGGGUUCAAUCCCCAGCACUCCCC